rnacentral:sRNA from 1 species
GUAGAGACGGGGUUUCACCGAGUUAGCCAGGAUGGUCUCGAUCUUCUGACCUUUUGUAAUCCGCCCGCCUGGGCCUACCAAAGUGCUGGGUUUACAGGUGUGAGCCACCACGCCCGACCAAUACCUUCUCUCUCUUUUAUAGCGGAUGUGAUGCUGGUACAACCCAGAGUAGAAUUUAUUCUGUCUUUCAUUGACCACAUUGCUGGAGAUGAGGAUCAUACAGAUGGAGUAGUAGCUUGUGCUGCUGGACUAAUAGGGGACUUAUGUACAGCAUUUGGGAAGGAUGUACUGAAAUUAGUAGAAGCUAGGCCAAUGAUCCAUGAAUUGUUAACUGAAGGGCGGAGAUCGAAGACUAACAAAGCAAAAACCCUUGCUACAUGGGCAACAAAAGAACUGAGGAAACUGAAGAACCAAGCUUGAUCUGUUACCAUUGGGAUGAUAACCUGAGGACCCCCACUGGAAAUCUCCAAUCUUUUGAAAAACCUGGAAGUGAGGAGUGUGCACGGAUGCUGAAUGUUUGGGAAUGAGAGGAUGAGUGAGUGAGGCUUGAAAACACACCACAUUGAAAAUCCUGCCACAGCAGCAGCCGCAGCCGCCAACAGCAG